GAUGAACACUGGCGGCGUGCCUAAUACAUGCAAGUCGAGCGAAUGGAUUAAGAGCUUGCUCUUAUGAAGUUAGCGGCGGACGGGUGAGUAACACGUGGGUAACCUGCCCACAAGACUAGGAUAACUCCGGGAAACCGGGGCUAAUACCGGAUAACAUUUUGAACCGCAUGGUUCGAAAUUGAAAGGCGGCUUCGGCUGUCACUUAUGGAUGGACCCGCGUCGCAUUAGCUAGUUGGUGAGGUAACGGCUCACCAAGGCAACGAUGCGUAGCCGACCUGAGAGGGUGAUCGGCCACACUGGGACUGAGACACGGCCCAGACUCCUACGGGAGGCAGCAGUAGGGAAUCUUCCGCAAUGGACGAAAGUCUGACGGAGCAACGCCGCGUGAGUGAUGAAGGCUUUCGGGUCGUAAAACUCUAUUGUUAGGGAAGAACAAGUGCUAGUUGAAUAAGCUGGCACCUUGACGGUACCUAACCAGAAAGCCACGGCUAACUACGUGCCAGCCGCCGCGGUAA
rnacentral:rRNA from 1 species